ensembl:snRNA U2 U2 spliceosomal RNA
AUAGCUCUCGGCCUUUGGCUAGACCCUCAAGUGUAGUAUCUGUUCUUUUUAUUCAGUUUAAAUCUGAUUACGUCCUCGAUGAGAGGGACUUAUAUAAACGGAUUUGGGUUCGGGAGUUGGACCCGGAGAUGACUACCUCCGCUCGCGAAUCGUCCGGUAUUGACAGUGCCUCGGGAACGGUUGACAACCC